UUGCAACACUUUGGUGGUUUUUGGCAGAUAUAUUCAUGUCCUUUUUCAUAAUUGCAGCAGACAGCUUUGUUUUUACAGCUUGCUGAUCCAUGACUAGAUUUCUGUCAGUUGAAGAAUCUUAUAUAUCAGUAUAUAUAAAUCAACAGGUACUCUUUGGAAGCCUAUUAGAAUCUUUUCUGGCAGUUGUGACCUAACAAAAGUCAUGAUAUAGGUGCUGGUUUUAAUAAUUUGAUCUUGUUUUUUGAUUGUUAUUCGUUGAUGUUUGUCACACCCUGUUGUAUCAGUUCUGAGGCUAUUUCAACCUCAUCCAUUUCCUCUAGCUCUCUACUGCGAAUUACAAGUAGUGCAAAGAGUAGUAGUUGUUGGAAUGUCGAUUGAGUUAAUUAACGUGUAACACCAAGUUUGAUUUCUGUGAAUGUUGCCUCUAUGUGUGUGUAAUUUACUUGCAUGUGUUUGUGAGCAUUAUGCUUGAGAUGUGUGGUAUGGCUUUAUGGUUAUGUGGUUAUGUGGUUUGUCUAUAGGGACUAUAUUGUUAGCUAUUGUAUGGUGAUUCCCUGGUGUAGGUAGGAGAUCAGUGGUGUCCAAAUAAAGUUACAUUUGGGAGUUUUAUUUUUGAAUGAGGCAGAGAGUUUUUCCAAUGUUAUGUAGUCAAGGUUUUUUCAGUGUGCAAUAUUAAUGUUAUUCUUUGAUUUCCAGUUUGUUAUUAUGAUUUUCUUGGUGACGGUUAGCACUGUAAGAACUAUUGUAUUUUCCUUUGUGAUGUUGAUCCCAGAUGUAUCUCCAAGUAAGCAUAGUGAAAGGGAGUGUGGGAUGGUGUGAUUUAGAAAAUGAGAUAUUUCCUUAGUGAUUUGUUUCUAGAAGUGCUUAACUGGUGUGCAGUCCCAUAUGGCAUGUAUGUAAUCAUCUAUUUCGUGUAUUUUGUGUGUGUGUGUUUUUUUUUGUUUGUUUGUUUGCUUGUUUUUUGUGCACUAUAUGCAGAUAUUAGAUUCCCUGUAGUCCUUUUUUAAAUCCCAAGACCUGUGUAGUGAGUUCUAUGGAUUAUUUUGUAUUGUAUCAGGUGCAGACUAGUGUUAUUAGCUAUAUAGGACAUGUCCUUUAAGAUUUGUGGCCAAAAAUCCUUUUACAUGGUAAGUAGAGCUGGAUUUGGAUAUUAUUUUAUAUAUUUUGGAUAAGACUUUAGUUGGUGGUGAGAUAUUCAGAAGUUCUGAUACUAAUGGGGGAGGUCUAAUAUGUUAGAUCUGAUUUGUAGAAAUUCAAAGAAAUGUUUAUUUUCUAGUCCAUGUUUCUCAGCUAGAUAUGGAAAUCAUGUAAAGGUGUUGUUUUGACAUACAGUGCCUUGCAAAAUUUCACCCCCCCUUGGCCUUUUUCCUGUUUUGUUGCAUUACAACCUGGAAUUAAAAUGGAUUUUUAUUUGGAUUUUAUGUAAUAGACCUAACAAAAUAGUCCAAAUUGUUGAAGUGGAAUGAAAAAAAUACCUUGUUUAAAAAAAUUAAAACCUGAAAAGGUGUGAGGGCAUAUGUAUUCACCCCCUUUGCUAUGAAACCCCUAAAUAAGAUCUGUGCCAAACAAUUAACUUCAGAAGUCACAUAAUUAGUUGAUUAAGGUCCACCUGUGUGCAAUCAAAGUGUCACAUGAUCUGUCACAUGAUGUCAUAAAUAUGCAGGUAUAAAUAUACCUGUUCUGAAAGGCCACUGAGUCUGCAACAUCACUAAGAAAGCAACAUGAAGACCAAGGAGCUCUCCAAACAGUGACUCCUGUAACUGGCGAGAGAGAAAGAGAGAGAGAGAGACACGCACAAAUGCACACACACACACGCCACUGUGCAUGAACUUGAACUUGAUGGAGCGAAAGCUGCUAGUCCGGGACAGACCUGUGUCUCUUGAGAUGUUUUGGCUUUGUUGAGUUUUUGAAAGUGUGCUGAAGAGCGUUGACUGAAUAAAUGUGAGCACAGAGCUCAGGUAAAAUUC